UGUUGUGAGCAUUGUUGCAAAAUUGGAUAGAAUAUGAUAACUUAUGAGUCCAUAUUACCAUAAAGUGUAGGAAAAAUAUCAGACUUCACAACGAACUAGAACUGAACACAGCAAGUGCCAUGGCAACAACACGAGCAGUAGCAUGUUCAAUUCUCCCCACACACUCACGCCUUCCACGCACAUUCAACAACAGCUAUAACAACACAUUCUCCUUCCCCGCCGCGACUCACGCAACCGUUUCCCACCAUUUUCCCCCUUCCAAUUUUCCCGGAAAAUCUUCCCGCCUCCUCACCGCCUUCUCCGCCGCCGAUAACCGCCACACCGCAUCUCCAGACCUCGCCGUUCUCCUCGAAAUCGACGGGGUUCUUGUGGAUGCGCAUCGUUUGGGGAAUUGCCUAGCCUUCAACAAAGCAUUUGAGAAGCUUGGGCUUGAUUGUGCGAGUUGGCCUGAACCUGUUUAUACGGAUCUUUUAAGGAGAAGUGCUGGAGAUGAGGAAAAGAUGCUAUUUUUGUAUUUUAAUCGAAUUGGCUGGCCUGCAUCAUUACCCACGAAUGAGAAGGGACUGUUCGCAAAAAGUGUUUUGCAGGAAAAGGAAAAGGCGAUGAAAGAGUUUGUGAUGUCAAAAAGUCUACCAUUACGACCUGGUGUUGAACAGUUUAUUGAUGAUGCAUGUGAUGAAGGGAUUCCAGUUGUAAUAUUAACAGCCUACAGUAAAAAUGGUGAUAGUGAUACUAUAGCCAGGGCUAUAAUGGAAAAACUUGGUGAUGAUCGAAGCACGAAGGUAAUUACUGUGGGGAAUAAGGAGGUUGAGCAAAGCUCAUAUGGCCAACUGGUCUCAGGAAAGGUAAUUGCUUCUGGUUUGGAUGAAGAGCUUGCCAAGGAAGCCAAAAGAGCAGCUGCUGCUGAGAGACAAAGGUUGGCAAAGGAGGUAGCAUCUGUGCUAAAGUUGAGUGUUGAGAUUGAUACCUCUGAAAGUCUAGAUAAGAUUGUAGUUGCGCUGUAUGCGGGAGCCGAAUGUGCAGGGUUACCUCUCUGCAACUGUGUCCUUGUUGCAGGAAGCCAAUCUGGAGUAGCUGGAGCUGAACGGGUGGGCAUGCCAUGUGUUGUUUUACGGAGCAGGUGAUUGCUUUGUUCUUGGAAGUUCAAUGAAUGAAACAUUUUGACCUCUAGAGCUGAGUUCCCAUUGGCAGAUGCUACAGUGGAGGGGUUUGGAGGCGCAGAUCUAACAAUUUCAAAGUUGCGUGAUCUUUGCAGCAAGAAAAAACCUAAGUAUUGAAUGAGUUAUGAAUUUACCCUUAUCCAAGAAAUUUGCAAUAAACACAACCACACUUGCUCUGGAUUUGAAGCUUUUUGCCGGCCGAAUGACGGGAAUGGACCUCUAGAAAGGGAGUUUAAGAUGAGUGUCUCUUCAGAGACAAUGUAUGCUGGUAUUGGAAUUAUUUCAUUUCAUGUUGAUAUUUGGCGCUUCAUAUAACACAUCCACAAUAUAGUAUGAGAGAAACCACACUGAUACAUGCGCUCUUGUUGUCGCAAUUGCAUGAUCAUAUGUCUAUCAGCAGCCUGAGGAAAGAGUUUUCUUGCUAGUCAUUGUGGAUGUGGAGAAGCUUUAACCGCAGUUGCUGGGUAAAUAUAAUAGUUAUAAUGUAACAUUAAUUCAUGUGAUUGUUUUUUUUUUUUUUUAUCUAAACGGAUCUCAAGUCCUUCUUGCAGAGUGUAGAAACAAGAUUGAUUUUGUAUUUCUUUUCUUUUAACACUUGAAAAAUCCAACCAUGGUGGGUUUGAAAUGUCCCGUCGGACUAAGUGAUUGAGCCAUUUUUGGUAAUAGACAUUUGUCGCAUUAGUGAAGUAGCCCCACUUGAUGCAUUAUUAAUCUUUAGCCCA